GAUGAACGCUGGCGGCGUGCCUAACACAUGCAAGUCGAGCGAACGGACGAUAAGCUCUUUCCUCUGCUGUUAGCGGCUGACGGGUGAGUAACACGUGGAUCACCUACUUCUUUUACUUGGAUAAUUUCGUGAAACCGCAUCCAAUACUGGAUCAUAUUUUGUACCGCUUGGUUCAAAAGUUCAUCACGGCCUUCCCGUCUCUUUUAGCCGAUUCCGCGCUGCAUUAGCUAGUUGGUAAGGUAACGGCCUACCAAGGCGACGAUGCAGAGCUGACCUGAGAGGAUGAUCAGCCACACUGGAACUGAGACACGGUCCAGACUCCUACGGGAGGCAGCAGUGGGGAAUAUUGGGCAAUGGGCGAAAGCCUGACGGAGCAACGCCGCGUGGGUGAAGAAGGUCUUCGGAUCGUAAAACCCUGUUGUUAGGGAAGAAAAGAUGUAGGAGAAAAUGUGGACAUCUUGACGGUACCUAAACAAAAAGCAACGGCUAACUUCGUG
rnacentral:rRNA from 1 species